UACGUAGGGGGCUAGCGUUGUCCGGAAUCAUUGGGCGUAAAGAGCGUGUAGGCGGCCCGGUAAGUCCGCUGUGAAAGUCGGGGGCUCAACCCUCGAAUGCCGGUGGAUACUGUCGGGCUAGAGUGCGGAAGAGGCGAGUGGAAUUCCUGGUGUAGCGGUGAAAUGCGCAGAUAUCAGGAGGAACACCAAUUGCGAAGGCAGCUCGCUGGGGGUGUCCUGACGCUGAGGCGCGAAAGCCAGGGGAGCGAACGGG
rnacentral:rRNA from 1 species